GACGAACGCUGGCGGCGUGCUUAACACAUGCAAGUCGAGCGGUAAGGCCCUUUCGGGGGUACACGAGCGGCGAACGGGUGAGUAACACGUGGGUGACCUGCCUUUAGCUCUGGGAUAAGCCUGGGAAACCGGGUCUAAUACCGGAUAUGACUCCGCGGCGCAUGUUGUGGGGUGGAAAGCCUUGUGCGGCUGGAGAUGGGCCCGCGGCCUAUCAGCUUGUUGGUGGGGUGAUGGCCUACCAAGGCGACGACGGGUAGCCGGCCUGGGAGGGCGACCGGCCACACUGGGACUGAGACACGGCCCAGACUCCUACGGGAGGCAGCAGUGGGAAUCUUGCGCAAUGGGCGAAAGCCUGACGCAGCGACGCCGCGUGAGGGAUGACGGCCU
rnacentral:rRNA from 1 species